CCCSSGGGGGKAAUGCCUUUAGUAGCGGCGAGUGAGCGGCAAUAGCUCAAAUUUGAAAUCUGGCACCUUCGGUGUCCGAGUUGUAAUUUGAAGAAGGUAUCUUUGGUUUUGGCUCUUGUCUAUGUUCCUUGGAACAGGACGUCACAGAGGGUGAGAAUCCCGUGCGAUGAGAUGCCCAAUUCCAUGUAAAGUUCCUUCGACGAGUCGAGUUGUUUGGGAAUGCAGCUCUAAGUGGGUGGUAAAUUCCAUCUAAAGCUAAAUAUUGGCGAGAGACCGAUAGCGAACAAGUACUGUGAAGGAAAGAUGAAAAGAACUUUGAAAAGAGAGUGAAAAAGUACGUGAAAUUGUUGAAAGGGAAGGGCUUGAGGUCAGACUUGGUUUUACCAGGCCAGCAUCAGUUUGGAUGGCAGGAUAAUAGCUUAGGAAUGUGGCACUGCUUCGGUAGUGUGUUAUAGCCUGGGUUGAUACUGCCUGUCUAGACUGAGGACUGCGUCUUUGACUAGGAUGCUGGCAUAAUGACCUUAAGCCGCCCGUCUUGAAACACRGACCA
rnacentral:rRNA from 1 species